UGGAUGAGGAUAGCAAAGAGGAGUAUGAUACAAGAAUGUAUCACUUUGGCGAGCAAGUAGCACCAGCGAGGGAGAGUAAGAGCUUGAGUGAAGCUCACAAAAAUGCAAGCCUGCUGAAGAAGUGGAACAAGAAGCAGGAUAAGAUCAUCGCUAAGUCCCUGAAGACUAUCAAGUCUCUGAAGGUUAUGAUAAGUUGCUCCUCUUCCAGCACGGCUAUGCCA
rfam:Arabidopsis lyrata subsp. lyrata unplaced genomic scaffold ARALYscaffold_2, whole genome shotgun sequence.